rnacentral:rRNA from 1 species
AUUGAACGCUGGCGGCAGGCCUAACACAUGCAAGUCGAACGAGUGGCGGACGGGUGAGUAAUGUCUGGGAAACUGCCCGAUGGAGGGGGAUAACUACUGGAAACGGUGGCUAAUACCGCAUACCAUCAGAUGUGCCCAUAUGGGAUUGGCUUGUGGGUGGGGUAACGGCUCACCAAGGCGUCGAUCCCUAGCUGGUCUGAGAGGCUGAUCAGCCACACUGUGACUGAGACACGGUCCAGACUCCUACGGGAGGCAGCAGUGGGGAAUAUGGCACAAUGGGCGCAAGCCUGAUGCAGCCAUGCCGCGUGUAUGAAGAAGGCCUUCGGGUUGUAAAGUACUUUCAGCGGGGAGGCGUUACCCGCAGAAGAAGCACCGGCUAACUCCGUGCCAGCAGCCGCGGUAAUAC